rnacentral:rRNA from 1 species
AUCAGCCAAAAUUGCCAAAGUGGUAUAAGUAAGUGGAAAAGAGUUGUUGGCCCAGAUCGUUUACCGUGAAAAAAUUAGAGUGUUCAAAGCAGGCAGAUCCAAUUUUCUGCCACCGAAUACAUUAGCAUGGGAUAAUGGAAUAGGACCCUGUCCUCCUAUUUUCAGUUGGUUUUGGCAGCGCGAGGACUAGUGUAAUGAUUAAUAGGGAUAGUUGGGGGCAUUAAUAUUUAAUUGUCAGAGGUGAAAUUCUUGGAUUUAUGAAAGAUUAACUUCUGCGAAAGCAUCUGCCAAGGAUGUUUUCAUUAAUCAAGAACGAAAGUUAGGGGAUCGAAGACGAUCAGAUACCGUCGUAGUCUUAACCAUAAACGAUGCCGACCAGCGAUUAGGAGACGUUGAAUACAAAACACCGCCAUCGGUUGCGGUCGUCCUUGGCGUCUCGGUUUCGGCCGGGGCGCGGGAACGUUAGCCCGCACCG